rnacentral:lncRNA from 1 species
CGAGCUUUGAAAUUAACAACUUACAAGGGCCAUAUGUUACUAUUGCGAUUUUUGUUGUUUGUAUGUUGUCAAUAUUUUUUUUUUUUAUAUAAAGAAACUUAAUUAACGACACUUUUAUCAUAUGUAUAAACGUAAAUAAUUGCCAAAGAUGUUAAUUUGCUGAUAAGUAAUACAAAGAGAAGACAUUGGUAUUGAUACGCGUCAUGAAAUAAUUGCUUCUCCGAUCCCCGCUUAUAAUGUAAAUGUAUAUGCUCUC